UACGAAGGGGGCAAGCGUUGUUCGGAAUUACUGGGCGUAAAGGGCGCGUAGGCGGCCGAUCAAGUCAGGCGUGAAAUUCCCGGGCUCAACCUGGGGGCUGCGCUUGAUACUGAUUGGCUUGAAUGCGGGAGAGGAUAGUGGAAUUCCCAGUGUAGAGGUGAAAUUCGUAGAUAUUGGGAAGAACACCGGUGGCGAAGGCGGCUAUCUGGCCCGUAAUUGACGCUGAGGCGCGAAAGCGUGGGGGAGCAAACAGGG
rnacentral:rRNA from 1 species